UAGUAAAAUCAGACUGUACCCUCAA
rnacentral:piRNA from 1 species